AGUUGAGCGCUGAAGGUUGGUACUUGUACCGACUGGAUGAGCAGCGAACGGGUGAGUAACGCGUGGGGAAUCUGCCUUUGAGCGGGGGACAACAUUUGGAAACGAAUGCUAAUACCGCAUAAAAACUUUAAACACAAGUUUUAAGUUUGAAAGAUGCAAUUGCAUCACUCAAAGAUGAUCCCGCGUUGUAUUAGCUAGUUGGUGAGGUAAAGGCUCACCAAGGCGAUGAUACAUAGCCGACCUGAGAGGGUGAUCGGCCACAUUGGGACUGAGACACGGCCCAAACUCCUACGGGAGGCAGCAGUAGGGAAUCUUCGGCAAUGGACGAAAGUCUGACCGAGCAACGCCGCGUGAGUGAAGAAGGUUUUCGGAUCGUAAAACUCUGUUGGUAGAGAAGAACGUUGGUGAGAGUGGAAAGCUCAUCGUGUGACGGUAACUACCCAGAAAGGGACGGCUAACUACGUGCCAGCAGCCGCGGUAAUACGUACGUCCCGAGCGUUGUCCGGAUUUAUUGGGCGUAAAGCGAGCGCAGGUGGUUUAUUAAGUCUGGUGUAAAAGGCAGUGGCUCAACCCUUGUAUGC
rnacentral:rRNA from 1 species